rnacentral:rRNA from 1 species
CCUACGGGGGGCAGCAGUGAGGAAUAUUGGUCAAUGGACGAGAGUCUGGACCAGCCAAGUAGCGUGAAGGAUGACUGCCCUAUGGGUUGUAAACUUCUUUUAUAUGGGAAUAAAACAGGGUAUGCAUACCCUCUUGUAUGUACCAUAUGAAUAAGGAUCGGCUAACUCCGUGCCAGCAGCCGCGGUAAUACGGAGGAUCCGAGCGUUAUCCGGAUUUAUUGGGUUUAAAGGGAGCGUAGGUGGAUUGUUAAGUCAGUUGUGAAAGUUUGCGGCUCAACCGUAAAAUUGCAGUUGAAACUGGCAGUCUUGAGUACAGUAGAGGUGGGCGGAAUUCGUGGUGUAGCGGUGAAAUGCUUAGAUAUCACGAAGAACUCCGAUUGCGAAGGCAGCUCACUGGACUGCAACUGACACUGAUGCUCGAAAGUGUGGGUAUCGAACAGGAUUAGAUACCCCAGUAGUC